rnacentral:sRNA from 1 species
CGCGCGUUAAGCGCUCCUUAACGAUUCCAAAGUAUGAAUAUGGCUGUCCGGAUUGUCUGGAUGCGAGUGGCUCCUGCCCUCUCUGUUUGACGCCUCCCUGUUGACCUUCGAGCCGCCCGACCGAGGCGGCUCUUUUUUG